GCUGGCGUAGCUCAGUCGGCAGAGCAGCUGAUUUGUAAUCAGCAGGUCAAGGGUUCGAUUCCCUUCGCCAGCU
rnacentral:tRNA from 1 species